rnacentral:rRNA from 1 species
GGAGGGUGCAAGCGUUGCUCGGAAUUACUGGGCGUAAAGCGCGUGUAGGCGGUUUCGUAUGUCUGAUGUGAAAUCCCCGGGCUCAACCCGGGAAGUGCAUUGGAUACUGGCGACCUAGAGUGCGGUAGAGGGGUGUGGAAUUCCCGGUGUAGCAGUGAAAUGCGUAGAUAUCGGGAGGAACAUCUGUGGCGAAGGCGACACCCUGGACCAGCACUGACACUGAGGCACGAAAGCGUGGGGAGCAAACAGGAUUAGAUACCCUGGUAGUCCACGCCCUAAACGAUGCGAACUGGAAGUUGGGGACAACUUGGUCCUCAGUUUCGAAGCUAACGCGUUAAGUUCGCCGCCUGGGAAGUACGGUCGCAAGACUG